AUGCCUGCCAUAGAUGUGGCGAAACGUCAGGAGAGAAUACUUCUGGAACAUGGCGAUACAGCCUGGAAAACAUACAACAACCCCGUGAUUCUGACCAUGAAAGCCUCACAACCUCUGAGGAUGCCUGCCAUAGAUGUGGAGAAACGUCAGGAGAGAAUACUUCUGGAAUGUGGCCAGAUAGCCUGGAAAACAUACAACAACCCUGUGAUUCUGACCAUGAAAGCCUCACAACCUCUAAGGAUGCCUGCCACAGAUGUGGCGAAACGUCAGGAGAGAAUACUUCUGGAACAUGGCCAGACAGCCUGGAAAACGUACAACAACCCUGUGAUUCUGACCAUGAAAGCCUCACAACCUCUGAGGAUGCCUGCUAUAGAUGUGGCGAAACGUCAGGAGAGAAUACUUCUGGAAUGUGGCCAGACAGCCCGGAAAACACACAACAACCCUGUGAUUCUGGCCAUGAAAGCCUCACAACCUCUGAGGAUGCCUGCCAUAGAUGUGGCGAAACAUCAGGAGAGAAUGCUUCUGGAAUGUGGCCAGACAACCUGGAAAACAUACAACAACCCUGUGAUUCUGACCAUGAAAGCCUCUCAACCUCUGAGGAUGCCUGCCAUAGAUGUGGCGAAACGUCAGGAGAGAAUGCUUCUGGAAUGUGACCAGGCAGCCUGGAAAACAUACAACAACCCUGUGAUUCUGACCAUGAAAUCCUCACAACCUCUGAGGAUGCCUGCCAUAGAUGUGGCGAAACAACAGGAGAGAAUAGUUCUGGAACAUGGCCAUACAGCCCGGAAAACACACAACAACCUUCUGGAGGUGGUUGGACUAUUCACUUCCAGGAUUCCUUAUGAACAAAAGAAAGAACAUUCUUGGAGAUUAGUCAUGAAAAUGACAAGAAAACCCUGGCAUUGCAAGAUGUUCUGCAGGAAGUUGACCUUCUCCCCUCCAUUGUUUCCCCGAGAGGCAUUUUUGCCAAAGGUUGGCAUGCCGAUAAAACCCUUUCUUAUUUGAACAGCAGGCAGCUGAGGCCACAUUCCCCCGGAUUUUAUCGGUGACGUUCCUUCGUUCGGAUGGCGGAGGUGGCACAUUUCUCAGCUGACGGUUUGGGCUUGUUAAUCUCCUCAACCUCAAUUUAUGUAACUUCGGAGAGGCCCUCACCUCUUGAAGGAAGUACAACAUGAAAUGCGGACACCUUCGCUUCUGGUUAUAUAGUAUUAUCUCUCUAUAUAAAGGCCUCGGCAGACAGAAGUGUGCUUAGCGUGGGGCAAUUAGAGGCCAUCCAAAUAUAUGGCCAAUUCAGGCAAAUACAGCAGAAGUCGUUGGAUGAGGCCGAACCUGAUGCGGAAGAAGAGCAAAACAAUACAACAUCUCACCCCAAAAGAGUCAGUGCGGUGCAGUGUUUUGAUCAUUGGACCUAUGACUUUGGGAAGUAGGAUUCGAAUCCUCAGUUAUGGAAACACAUGGGAAUGUCAUGCUCUCUCAGCCUCAGAGGGUCAUAAUAAAUCAAAAAUGGCUUGGAGACCCACAAUGGUGCCACUGACGAUGCCCUGAUUAAUUGCCACAACGCUCUGGGUUCUGUUGCAUGAAUCUGAGCAUCCAAAACCCAAAACGCUCCGGGGUCUUGUGUGCGAAGAGCGUCCUAUAUUUUGGAAGGGAAGGUGCCGUUUGCCCUUGCGUUUGGGGGAUUGUGUGGUGCCAGCCGCAGGUAGACUGGGAUUUGGGUUGCCAUGGCGAAGCAAGAGCGGAGGACCCCCCCCCUCCCUCCUCCAAAAGCAUGCGCCAGCUUUGGCUUCUAUCCCUGCAAAUCCAUUCUGACAGCUUUGCCCUCUUUCACACUUUUGUGUGUUUUUCUGUUUUGUUUUUUUUCUUCCUCUGAAGCAACAGCAUCUAAGCUCCCUUCUCUGCUGCCUCCAAGGGCUUUUCAAGGAGACGGGCUUUGCUUCAUCCUUGUUCCUUGCAUCUUGGGGAAUCUUCGCUUUUUCUGGUGUCUUUGGGGCAGAUCCGACGCUCGAAGGGUUUUGUUAGCGGCAGGAGCAGCAACACUCUUCCCAAACCCUGCUGCUCUUGAUGCUACUGCUAAAUCUCAAGUUUGCAGAAUUUUCUGUUGCUUUCCCUAAUACAUCCAUCUCUCUCUCUCUCUUCUUUUUGCCUCUCUCUUUUUGCUGGGAGCCCCUGUACUUAACCAGCUACGAAAAUAGCAACACUGCAGAGCACGGCGUCCCCGGCAAAACUCUGCCUUCUGCAAAGCCUGCAUUACAUAAUUCCUGGGAAAAACAUCAGAGGCUUUUUCUCGGGCCUCUCGGAAGCUCAGGUUUCGAGGAAGGCAGCCGAGGCUUGUGCAUUGUCCUUCUGAAUGUGCAUUUGUGCAUUUGCGCUGCAGAUAAGAGGGAAUUCUUUGCAAUGGAACUGCAACAAAAUGCAAACCAGGAUAGGAGACAGAAUGAAGCCGUUGCUUCUCCAAAUAGGGACUGUCACCUGUGUUGGCUCCUUGGCACCAAACCCCAAACAAUCCACAGAUGAUGAUGAUGAUGAUAACAACAACAACAACAACAACAAAUAGACAAAAAACCAGUACAAGAAAGCCGCACUACAAACUAGAGCUGACAGCUGGCACAACAAAACAUUGCAUGGAAAGUUCCUUGACAAAAUUGAAGGAAAAGCUGAUAAGGAGAAGACCUGGCUCUGGCUCACGAAUGGGACCCUGAAGAAGGAGACAGAAGGCCUGAUCCUUGCAGCCCAGGAGCAAGACAUCAGGACAAAGGCAAUUCAGGCCAAGAUCGACCCAAAAUGCAGACUGUGCAAGGAAACUGACGAAACCAUUGAUCAUAUCCUCAGCUGCUGUAAGAAAAUUGCACAGACAGACUACUAACAGAGGCACAACUAUGUGGCCCAAAUGAUUCAUUGGAACUUAUGCCUCAAGUACCACCUCCCAGCAGCAAAGAACUGGUGGGAUCACAAACCUGCAAAAGUAUUGGAGAAUGAGCACGCAAAGAUACUGUGGGACCAGAGCCGGCCCUAGGUAUUUUUCAAGUGUAGGCAAACAGAAUUUUGGCACCCUCCCCCCCCCCCCCCCCAAACCAAUCACUGAAAAAUAAAAGCAUUGGAUAAGCGAAAAUGUUGGAUAAUAAGGAGGGAUUGAGGAAAUGCCUAUUAAACAUCAAAUUACAUUAAGAUUUUACAAAUUAAGCACCAAAACAUCAUGUUUUACAACUAAUCAACAGAAAAAGCAGUUCAAUACAUGGUAAUGUUAUGUAGGAAUUACUAUAUUUGCGAAUUUAGCACCAAACAUUGAACAGGGAUAUAGGGCAGUGUGGACUUAGAUAACCCAGAUAGCCCCCAGUAUUAAAAAAAAACCCUGUAAAAUCAGGACAAUAAAUAAAGAACAACACUCUGAAAACAGGAGAAAUCCAAACAUUCGUUCUUGCCAGGAAUGCGUUCGGGGCUUUGGGGAGCAGAGAAAUGGUGCUUCUCUGCUCCCUAAACCGCUGAACGCCUUCCUGGCGAGGCCUCGCCAGGAAGGCCUUGCCACGAAGGCCUUGCCACAAAGGCGUUUGGCAGCUUCUCUGCUCUGCAAAGCCCCGAACGCCUUCCUGGCGAGAAGGAAGGUGUUUGGGGCAAAGCGGCAACCUCAGCUCCUUCCUUGCAGAGGGAGGCGCGGCAGCAGAGGCAGGCCGCAGGAGACAUGAGUUGCCUCGAUGGCGCCCCCAACAAGAUGGCGCCACAGGCAACUGCCUAGUUGGCCUGGUGGUUGAACCGCCUCUGUGUGGGACUUCCGAAUAAUACUAUGUGGACCAAAUGAUUAAUGGAAAUUAUGCCUCAAGUACCACCUCCCAGCAGUAAAGAACUGGUGGGAUCACAAACCUGCAAAAGUAUUGGAAAAUGAGCACGCAAAGCUACUGUGGGACUUCCGAAUCCAGACUGACAAAGUUCUGGAACACAACACACCAGACAUCACAGUUGUGGAAAAGAAAAAGGUUUGGAUCAUUGAUGUCGCCAUCCCAGGUGACAGUUGCAUUGACAAAAAACAACAGGAAAAACUCAGCCGCUAUCAGGACCUCAAGAUUGAACUUCAAAGACUCUGGCAGUAACCGGUUCAGGUGGUUCCGGUGGUGAUGGGCACACUGAGUGCCGUGCCAAAAGAUCUCAGCCGGCAUUUGGAAACAAUAGACAUUGACAAAAUUAUGAUCUGCCAACUGCAAAAGGCCACCCUGCUGGGAUCUGCGCGCAUCAUCCGAAAAUACAUCACACAGUCCUAGACACUUGGGAAGUGUUCAACUUGUGAUGUUGUAAAACAAAAUCCAGUAUAUCUAUCUUGUUUGCUGUGUCAUAAUAAAAUAAUAAUAAUAAUAAUAAUAAUAAUAAUAAUAAUAAUAAUAAUAAUAAUAAUAAUAAUAAUAAGGACUCUGGGUGGCUUACAUGGGGACGAGUCCAGCAUCAACAUCGGUUAGAACACAAUGAUUAUAGCAUUAUGACAUAUCCAUAUUGUGUAUUAUAAUUAUCACAUCCUUAGUAUAAACUGGCAAUCUAUGGGUUCUGGCCUAGUGAAUAUGAUGGAUAAUGUGGAAAUAUAUCCAAAUGUUACACAAUAGCAGAGUAAUAUAUCAUCCCUGGUGUAAAAUGGCAAUCCAUGGACCUGGCACCAAAACUCAACAAAUACAAAAGGCACACUGGAUAUAAAUAUAAUGUUAUGCCCACAUUAUAUAUGGUGCAAAGUCAUAAGGCACCCCUGGCGUAAAAUGGCAAUCCAUGGACCUGGCACCAAAGUUCAACAAAUACAAAAGGCACACUAGAUAUGAAUAUAAUCUUAUGUCCACAUUAUAUAUGACGCACAGUCAUAAGGCAUCGCUGACGUAAAAUGGCAAUCCAUGGAGGGACCUGGCACCAAAACCCAACAAAUACAAAAGGCCCAUUAGAUAUGAAUAUAAUAUUACGCCCAAAUUAUAUAUGAUGCAAAGUCAUAAAACGGCAUACCCAUGGAGGGAUUAGACACCAAAGCCCAACAAAUAUAAAGGCCCACUGGAUAUGAAUAUAAUGUUAUGUCCACAUUAUAUGUGAUGCAAAGUCAUGAGGCAUUCCUGGUAUGCCCAGAUUAUAUCCCUGGUUAUGUCCAAAUAUUUUAUGAUGCAAAGUCAUGAAAGGGCAACCCAUGGAGGGACCUGGCACCAAAGCCCAACAAAUACAAUAGGCCCACUAGAUAUGAAUAUAAUGUUAUGUCCACAUAAUAUAAUGCAGCUAGCUGUGCCCAGCCACGCGUUGCUGUGGUGUUGUCUGGUGGUGUUGGUGAGAAAUUGUUGAGGUAGUGGUGGUAUUGAAUGUCUGUUGUAUGGUUGUCUUUAUGUUUAGUAUGCACACUGAAGUGGAUUAUAUGGCAGUGUGGAGUCAAGAUAAUCCAGUUCAAAGCAGAUAAUAUAAGAUGGGUUAUAUAGCUGUGUGGAAGGGCCUUGAGUCUACACUGCCAUAUAAUCCAGUUAAAAUCUGAUAAUCUGCGGAAGAGGCCUAAGUGAGGCCUAACUGUGCCUGUCCCCUGGGCUGAGUGGGUUGCUAGGAGACCAAGUGGGUGGAGCUUAGCCUUCAAACUGGCAGCAAUGGGAUAAAAACUAUUAUUCCUCUCCUUGUAAUUAGGACUUUAUUUUUCUUUUCUUUUUGUUGUAUCAACCUAGAGCCGUGAAUGAUGGGUUGUGUUGUCAAAUUUCGAAGUUGGGGGGCCUGUAGUUUUGUUGUUUUGUCCGCUGUCCUGAUGCCAUCACUCUUCUAUAUAUAUAAAAGGGUAAUGAAAUUUCGGCCUAGGAGAAAACAACAAAACUGCACAUCCUAGAAACACUAAACUUGGCAGCAGAACCCCUCAUCCAUGCCUCUACGUUCAUACAACAAAAAGAAAAGAAAAAUAAAGUCCAAAUUAGAGGGAGAUGAAUAAUUGUUUUUAUCCAAUUGCUGCCAGUUAAAAGGCUAAGCUCCGCCCACAUAGUCAGACACGACUGAACUUACCCUUUACCAUAACUACCACCAAUUCCUCAAUACUUUAUUUCCUAUACCACCAAACUUCGCCACAGCAAUGCGUGGCUGGGCUCAGCUAGUUUAUGUAUAUAGAAGAAGUCAUAAGGCAUCCCUGGUAUAAAAGAGCAACCCAUGGAGGGACUUGGCACCAGAUUCCAAGGGCCUUCGAUAUAGGAUUAAUAAUGUUUAGACAUACCCAAAUUAUAUGCAAUAAUGGAGUAAUGUUGCAUAUAAUUUGUGUAUGAUAAUUGAGUAUCACAUCCUUAGUACAAAUAAUAAUAAGCAAUAAUGGAGUAAUAGGAGCCCCCAAUGGUGCAGCGUGUUAAAGCGCUGAGCUGCUGAACUUGUGGACCGAAAAGUUGCAGGUUCGAAUCCAGGGAGCGGAGUGAGCGCCUGCUGUUAGCCCCAACUUCUGCCGACCUAGCAGUUCAAAAACAUGCAAAUGUGAGUAGAUCAAUAGGUACCCGCUCUGGCGGGAAGGUAAUGGUGCUCUGAAGUCAUGCCGGCCACAUGACCUUGGAGGUGUCUACGGACAACGCCGGCUCUUUGGCUUAGAAAUAGAGAUGAGCACCAACCCUCAGAGUCGGACACAACUGGACUUAAUGUCAGGCGAAAUCCUUUACCUUUACCUAAUGGCCUCCACAGAAGAAAGUGGCAAUCCAUGGAGGGUCUUCACCAUCAAAUACCAAGAAUUAUAAUGUAAGACAUAUCAAAGUAUACAAUGGUUGAAUUAUAUGGUAUCUCUGGUAUAAAGGAGAGAACCUGGUACCAAAACCUAGUCACAUCCUUGGCAUAAACUGGCCAUCCAUGGAGGGACGUGGCACCAGAUACCAAGACCCCUCUAUAUAUGAUUAUAAUGUUAAAACAUAUCGGAAUUAUGCACAAUGGCGGACUAAUAUAGCCUCUUUGCUAUUAGAAGGCAAUCCAUAGAGAACUGACAAAAUUUGAGAAGAUGAUUAAUCCAAGGGGGGGAAGGGAAGGAAAAAAAGAACUAAAGAUAUAACAAGUGAUAUUUACAAAUUGCUAAUAGAUAAAGAGCAGGAGCAGGAUCACCUUAAAGAAAUGUGGGAGUAAGAUUGCAAUAAGGAAAUACACCCUCAAAUCUGGAAAGAAAUGUGGAAUAUGCGUAUAUUAAAAAACAUGUCUAUAAGAAUAAAAGAGAAUUAUUAUAAAGUGGUUUGGAGAUGCUACCUGACACCAAUUAGAUUAAAUCAAAUUGAUAAGAAAUACUCUAAGCAGUGCUGGAGGGGCUGUCAGGAAAUCUGUACAUAUAUACUAGACAUGUCCAAAAAAUCGUUUUGAAUCGUAUAUCGGAAUUAUUUUGGAUUGUUCUCGCUUUUUGAUACGCAUUCCGAGACAUUGUCUCACAGCCAACCAGCAAUGUAAUUCGAACCAUUGUUGGCCCAUUCUCUAAUCGUCGCUUAAUGUUUCAUUAAUUUUUCCUCUCCCCCCCCCCCCCCCAAAUUUUUUAAAAUAUAUAUACAUAUGUGGUGGUUCUGUAAAUAUGUUCAAAAAUUUUGGGAGAAUGUUUUUAAAGAAAUAAAGGGAAUCACCAAAACAGAAAUAAUGGGAACGCCUGAAAUAGCACUGUUGUCAUUUAUGGAUAAUAUUCAAAUAUCAAAAGAGUUAAAGGAACUAAUCGCCAACUUGGUAACGGCAGCAAGAUUGUUAAUAGCCAAAAAAUGGAAAGGAAGUGAGGAGUGCCAAUUGGAAGAAUGGUAUAAGGAGAUUUGGGAUAUUGUGAUAAAUGAUAAAUUGAUAUGUAAUAUUAAAAUUAAAAGAGGGUUAUUAAAAAAGGAUGAUUUUGGGAAGAUAUGGGGAAAAUUUAUAGAGUUUGUAUACGUAGAAGGAAAGGGGGAAAAACCUGUAAAAGAAACAAUGAAAUUUUGGAAAUAAAUAUUGUAAUUGGCUGGUCUGGGGUGAAGGGUAACAAAAGGUAAAUAAUAUGAGUAUGUAAUAUAGUUAGAGAGUGAAAAUACCAUAGGAGCUAUGAUAUACAUAACUCUGUAUUGCAAAUUUGUUAAAGAAUGUAUAAGUUUUAAGUACUGAAUAUGUAAAAUUCAAAAUUUUUCAAUAAUUUAAAUAAAAAACUGAAAUAAAUGAAAUAAAUGGGGAAAAAAAAGAAGGCAAUCCAUAUGCAAGGACCCGGCACCAAUAAUUUUUCCUUCAUCCCCAAACUUCUGGCAAGGCGUUUGCAUAAAACUUCAGCUUUUGGAAAUGCAGUUCCUAAAGGAGGUUGAUGAAGCGAGAGGCGUCCAAAACGGAGCGAUGAAGAUGAGCCAAGAUGGAAAUCAGAAGCCCUAUUUUGGGUUGGUUUAGAGAUCUGGGAACGUUCAUCCUAAAGAAGAGAAGACAACAAAUUGACAUGACGGAGGGAGGGAGGGGGGGUUAUCUUUAAAUAGCUGAAAGGAUGUCAGGUAGAAGAGGAUGAGGCAGGCUUCUUUCGUGCUGCUCGGGAGACAAGAACAUGAAGCAACGGAUCCAAAUGACAGGGAAAGAGAUUCCACGCAGAACAUGUUCUCGCUGUAGGAGUGGAUCAAAAGUGGAAUAAAUGGCUUUUUGGAGGGCGGUGGGCUCUCCCGUUUUGGAGAUCUUUAAAGGGAGGUUGGAUGUCUCCUUGCAAUGUUUGGACAGAGGAAACCGCAAUCCGACUCGUUUGGAAAAUUCCACUUGUAUUUAUGG